GAAAAACUGGUCGCACCAGGCGAGAACUUCAUUCCUUAUCUGAUUAGGCCCUGAGCUGCUCUGCCUACCGACACGGUCGCCGCAUAUAAAGAACCUGAGAGCGGCCAGGGUGAGCAUUCGGACGAGGGACGUAGUGCUGGAAGGGGAGACCCGGACUCUGUGAGAGUGUUGCAUGAAGUCUCCUGGCAUGGUGUGGCGUGCCAUGUGGACUCCAGUAUGGUCUCUCUGGUGCAGUGGUUCUAGACAGUUCAACAGUUCUUUUCCAAAAUUGUGAAAUGUUUAGGACCACUUGAUCAGGAUGACAGCUACCCGUCAUGGCGGAGCGCAAGAGAGACAGACAGCCGGAGCUGCCCGAUGUGGUGGGAGACGUGCCACUUAGCCAUGGACUUCGACUCAGGAUGGGCUUUUCGACGGGAUCACCUCAAGGGUGCUGCUUUGAAAUCACCACUGAGUGAGCAGGAAAUGGGCAAAGGGGUGCCGAAGGGUCCACCAUUAGACUAACCCUGGUGUGGGGCUCAGAAAAAAAACUGUAGGAAGAGGUGCAAUGGGAUAUGACGUCCAUAUUGUCGUUUGCAUUUCAUAGAUCUUUAUGUAUUGUCUCUGAUUUAUUGUAAUUCUGCACGUGAAAGCAAAUUAAAGCAGAGCAGCGGACAAGGAGGGCACGCCAUGAUGCGCAUGUUCAUCUUGAGCAUUGCAGCCUCUUGUAACUAUUAAAACGGAUGUUCUGAUCUCCUA